rnacentral:rRNA from 1 species
GAUGAACGCUAGCGGGAGGCCUAACACAUGCAAGCCGAGCGGUAGAGUUCCUUCGGGAACUUGAGAGCGGCGUACGGGUGCGUAACACGUGUGCAACCUACCUUUAUCUGGGGGAUAGCCUUUCGAAAGGAAGAUUAAUACCCCAUAAUAUAAUGAUUGGCAUCAAUUAUUAUUGAAAACUCCGGUGGAUAGAGAUGGGCACGCGCAAGAUUAGAUAGUUGGUGAGGUAACGGCUCACCAAGUCAAUGAUCUUUAGGGGUCCUGAGAGGGAGAUCCCCCACACUGGUACUGAGACACGGACCAGACUCCUACGGGAGGCAGCAGUGAGGAAGAUUGGACAAUGGGUGAAAGCCUGAUCCAGCCAUCCCGCGUGAAGGAUGACGGUCCUAUGGAUGGUAAACUUCUUUUGUACAGGGAUAAACCUACUCUCGUGAGGGUAGCUGAAGGUACUGUACGAAUAAGCACCGGCUAACUCCGUG